rnacentral:rRNA from 1 species
AAGGCAGCUUGCUGGGUCAUUACUGACGCUGAUGCACGAAAGCGUGGGGAUCAAACAGGAUUAGAUACCCUGGUAGUCCACGCCGUAAACUAUGAUCACUCGCUGUUGGCGAUACACGGUCAGCGGCUAAGCAAAAGCAUUAAGUGAUCCACCUGGGGAGUACGGCCGCAAGGCUGAAACUCAAAGGAAUUGACGGGGGCCCGCACAAGCGGAGGAACAUGUGGUUUAAUUCGAUGUUACGCGAGGAACCUUACCUGGGCUUAAAUGUGGAGUGCAUUGGUGAGAAAUCAUCAUUUUCUUCGGAACUCUCUGCAAGGUGCUGCAUGGUUGUCGUCAGCUCGUGCCGUGAGGUGUCGGGUUAAGUCCCAUAACGAGCGCAACCCUUAUCGUUAGUUGCCAGCGGGUCAAGCCGGGGACUCUAACGAAACUGCCGGUGUAAACCGAGAGGAAGGUGGGGAUGACGUCAAAUCAGCACGGCCCUUAUGUCCAGGGCUACACACGUGUUACAAUGGCCGGAACAGAGGGCAGCUACCUGGAGACAGGAUGCGAAUCUCGAAAGCCGGUCUCAGUUCGGAUCGGAGUCUGCAACUCGACUCCGUGAAGCUGGAUUCGCUAGUAGUCGCGCAUCAGCCACGGCGCGGUGAAUACGUUCCCGGGCCUUGCACACACCGCCCGUAAGGGC